rnacentral:lncRNA from 1 species
CGUUCUCCCAAACUAUUUCCACUAAUGGAAGUAACCAACCCCUGACUUAUGUUCAGGGAAUUCAAAAUUUCAGUAGAUGAGUUGACAAUAGGUUCUGUAAAGUACAAAUACACCUUCAUGUUCUCAGUUCUAUUUGUAGCUAGCACUGUUCUCAUUUCACUGUCAAUCUGUAGUAGCCUUUCAGGUAUUUGAGUCCUUAUGUCAGCGGACACUGUUCUUCUAUCUGUUGAAUCCAGUAUCAAAGAGAUUGGAGUCAGUCUAUAUUGAUCGGCACAUAGUUAAUUGUUGAUUGUUAAUCAAUUAUCUUUAUACACUAGGAUACGUUUCUCCAGUAUAUUCAUAUAAGAUAUCACAUAUUAGAAUUUGAUUCAGUUGUCAUACAAAGGAAGACGUCUCUUUGGAUUAUGAAAAUGGCAGGGCCUUCUAGAAC